GGCGGGGUAGCUCAGCUGGUUAGAGCAUAGCACUCAUAACGCUAAGGCCGUGGGUCCGAUUCCCACCCCCGCUA
rnacentral:tRNA from 1 species